rnacentral:rRNA from 1 species
UACGUAGGGUGCGAGCGUUAAUCGGAAUUACUGGGCGUAAAGUGUGCGCAGGCGGCAAAGCAAGUCGAGUGUGAAAGCCCCCGGCUCAACUGGGGAGGGUCACUCGAUACUGAUCGACUCGAAGGCAGAAGAGGGAAGCGGAAUUCCCGGUGUAGUGGUGAAAUGCGUAGAUAUCGGGAGGAACACCAGUGGCGAAGGCGGCUUUCUGGUCUGCUCUUGACGCUGAGGCGCGAAAGCUAGGGUAGCAAACGGG